GUGCCAGCCGCCGCGGUAAAACGUAGGUACCGAGCGUUAUCCGGAUUUACUGGGCGUAAAGCGUGUUCAGGCGGUCUGGCAAGUCGGGCAUGAAAUCUCUGGGCUCAACCCGGAGGGGUUGUCCGAUACUGCUGGGCUGGAGGGCAGCAGAGGGUGGUGGAAUUCCGGGUGUAGUGGUGAAAUGCGUAGAUAUCCGGAGGAACACCAGUGGCGAAGGCGGCCACCUGGGCUGUACCUGACGCUAACACACGAAAGCUAGGGGAGCGAACGGGAUUAGAUACCCCGGUAGUCC
rnacentral:rRNA from 1 species